rnacentral:rRNA from 1 species
UACGUAGGGGGCGAGCGUUGUCCGGAUUUAUUGGGCGUAAAGAGCUCGUAGGCGGUUCGAUAAGUCGGACGUGAAAUCUCCACGCUCAACGUGGAGGGGCCGUUCGAUACUGUCGUGACUCGAGUCCGGUAGGGGAGUGUGGAAUUCCCGGUGUAGCGGUGAAAUGCGCAGAGAUCGGGAGGAACACCCGUAGCGAAGGCGGCACUCUGGGCCGGUACUGGACGCUGAGGAGCGAAAGCGUGGGGAGCAAACAGG